GGCUAAAUACGUGCCAGCAGCCGCGGUAAUACGUAGGUGGCAAGCGUUGUCCGGAUUUCUACUCGAGAGAAGCGAGCGCAGGUGGUUUCUUAAGUCUGAUGUGAAAGCCCCCGGCUCAACCGGGGAGGGUCAUUGGAAACUGGGAGACUUGAGUGCAGAAGAGGAAAGUGGAAUUCCAUGUGUAGCGGUGAAAUGCGUAAAUAUAUGGAGGAACACCAGUGGCGAAGGCGGCUCUCUGGUCUGUAACUGACGCUGAGGCUCGAAAGCGUGGGGAGCAAACAGGAUUAGAUACCUUUUUUUUUUCACGCCGUAAACGAUGAGUGCUAAGUGUUGGAGGGUUUCCGCCCUUCAGUGCUGCAGCUAACGCAUUAAGCACUCCGCCUGGGGAGUACGACCGCAAGGUUGAAACUCAAAGGAAUUU
rnacentral:rRNA from 1 species